rnacentral:sRNA from 1 species
ACAUUAACGUAAUUAACGUCGUUAAUCUAAACUAUUAAUAAUAUUCACACUUACACUAACUUUGUCUUCUCCUCUUUUUUUUAUUUUUUUUUUAUUUUGUUUAUAAUUAAAUUUAGCAAUUGUUU